GAGCUAAAGCUUAAAACCCAAAGGACUUGACGGUGUUUCAUAUCCAACUAGAGGAGCCUGUCCUAUAAUUGAUAACCCCCGCUUAACCUCACCACCCCUAGCCAAUCAGCUUGUAUACUUCCGUCGUCAGCUUACCACGUGAGCGAACUUCAGUAAGCAUAACGGCCUCGCCAAUACGUCAGGUCAAAGUGCAGCAUAUGGGGNGGGAAGAGAUGGGCUACACUCUCUAAUGUAGAAUAAACGAAAGGCCUAAAUGAAACUCAGGCCUGAAGGCGGAUUUAGCAGUAAAAAGAAAAUAGAGUGUUCUUUUUAACUAGGCACUGGAACGUGU
rnacentral:rRNA from 1 species